rnacentral:rRNA from 1 species
CCUGGCGACGAGUGGCGGACGGGUGAGGAAUACAUAGGAAUCUGCCUGUUAGUGGGGGAUAGCCCGGGGAAACCCGGAUUAAUACCGCAUGAGCCCUACGGGGGAAAGAGGGGGAUCGCAAGACCUCUCGCUGACAGAUGAGCCUAUGUCCGAUUAGCUAGUUGGCGGGGUAAAGGCCCACCAAGGCGACGAUCGGUAACUGGUCUGAGAGGACGACCAGUCACACUGGGACUGAGACACGGCCCAGACUCCUACGGGAGGCAGCAGUGGGGAAUAUUGGACAAUGGGGGCAACCCUGAUCCAGCAAUGCCGCGUGUGUGAAGAAGGCCUGCGGGUUGUAAAGCACUUUCGGUGGGGAAGAACGCGCUUACGAUUAAUACUCGUGAGCAGUGACGGUACCCAAAGAAGAAGCACCGGCUAACUCUGUGCCAGCAGCCGCGGUAAUACAGAGGGUGCAAGCGUUAAUCGGAAUUACUGGGCGUAAAGCGCACGUAGGUGGUUAUUUAAGUCGGAUGUGAAAUCCCCGGGCUUAACCUGGGAACUGCAUUCGACACUGCAUAGCU